GGAGGGAGGGGAGGGGAGGGGAGGGGAGGGGAGGGGCCGGGCGGGAGGAGCCGCUCGCGGGUUUCGCCGCCUCCGCCUUCGCCUUUGCAGCCGACUCCAGUGUUGUACAUUAUAAACCGGGGCUGCUGAUGAGGAGUGGGGAACUGGCUCUCUGGAACGUCUGACAGCAGGCAGAAGGGGUGAGAGUGAAAUCCAGUCCAUUUUCCAUUUAGCCGACCUCCGCUUCAAGCUGCCCUGACAUUGGCAAUUUGCAUAUUUCUCCGAAGAACCAUCCAGAACCUGAACAGCCUGUCUUCAGACAGACAGAGGCCCACGUCUGUUUCUUGAAAUCUGGGGCUGGGAAUGGCCACAUGGAACAGGCCAUGCCAGAGGCUGCCUCAGCGGCCUCUGGUAGCUGAGCCCACUGCAGAGGGGGAGCCACACCUGCCCACGGGCCGGGAGCUGACUGAGGCCAACCGCUUCGCCUAUGCUGCCCUCUGUGGCAUCUCCCUGUCCCAGCUAUUUCCUGAACCCGAACACAGUUCCUUCUGCACAGAGUUCAUGGCGGGCCUGGUGAAGUGGCUGGAGUUGUCCGAAGCUGUCUUGCCAACCAUGACUGCUUUUGCGAGCGGCCUGGGAGGUGAAGGAACAGAUGUGUUUGUUCAAAUUUUACUGAAGG
rnacentral:sRNA from 1 species